AAUAUUAAAAUAUAAAGUCACAUUAUAUUUUUAUGGUUUUUGCAUUCUUCAAGGUUAUUAUUGCAGUCGAACAAUUAGUUUCUGAAUACAUGUUAACUACAUUAUUGAAAUCAUUAUAUUAGUUAAUAUUAUUGUAAUAUUUGAUUAUAUUUGAAUAUGUAUUUUAUUUUUUUUUGUCUUCGUGGUAAUAAGACUUCUUUAUAUAUUAUGUUUUUUUGUAUAUGUUUGCUUCUUCUUUCUCUUAUUGCCUGACUUUACAAGAACUUUUGUAGUUGACAGUGAUACUCCUCUUAAUAGUGUAACAUACAAUUGACCAUAAAAGAAAAAAUCCUGUGACAAAUAUACACCAACAUUUGAUAUUGUUUGUCCCUAAACUUUAUUUAUUAUCAAUGAAAAGCAUAGAUGAACAGAUAAUUGCUUUUUUUUUUUUUAUAAAUGAAAUGGUUAUCUUUCAUUUUCUGCCGGUGAUAGUGGUACUCUGAAUAAUAGAAUUUGCUUACCAAUAUAUUAUCCUACCGUUAUCUUUGCAUGAAUUAUAUUUUUCCCAAAACUUCUACACACCAUUCUUAUUCCAUUGCAUAGGCCAUUUGAAGGAUUUGGGUUCCUUAGCAGUAUCAUUGGACAAUUCACCUUUCAUUUCAGCUUGUGCUGAGGCAAUUCAUUCGGUAAUAAAGUGUUUAAGAAUUCCUUUUGGUAAUGGUUAUUUGUAUAAUCUAUUGCUUCAUCAAAACUGGUAUAAAUAUUUCUUUCACCAGGGAACAUGUUUAUCAUAUUUUCAUUAAGGCUAUCUACAUAUUCAUUUUUUGUUGCCAGGAUUGCACGAUUUGUCAUGUACUGUGCCAAUUUAGUAUUUUUCCUCCAAUGAUAGAUAUAUUGUAUCAAUUAAUACUUCUUCACAGUUAUUUUCAUUUUCAUACUUCAUUAUCAUCUCUUCAGGUAUUCUUAUAUUGCUCAUUUUUAUUUAUAACUCUUCUCCAUUACCAACUUUGAGUAUGAAUUCUCCAAAAUAUGGAUAUGUUCUAGUCCUGAUAUUGGUUGUUAAUUUUAGCACUUUCAUUUUGCUCCAUAAAUAAGAUUUCACGAGACUUGCACUAACACUUUCUUGUCUCAAAACUUUAGGUACCACCGGUAAUACCUAUACAAAAUCUCCACCAAACACCAUUACCUUCCCUUCAAAUGGUUGAGAAGUAUCCAUUAUAU
rnacentral:lncRNA from 1 species